GAAUUCAGUGAAUCAUCGAAUCUUUGAACGCACCUUGCGCCUUUUGGUAUUCCAAAAGGCACACCUGUUUGAGUGUCAUGAAACCCUCUCACAAAACAACUUUAUUGUUGCUUUUUUUGUGGAUGUUGAGUGUUGCUAUAUAUUUAUAGCUCACUUUAAAUAUAUAAGUCACACUUUUCAAGUAAGGUUGGAUUGACCUUGGUGUAAUAAUUUUAUCAUCACAUCAAGGAAAGGUAGGCAAUACCUUGCCAUCUUUUGAAAGGAGGACUCCNAAAAACCCCCUNNACCUUUUAAGCAUAG
rnacentral:rRNA from 1 species